UGCGGGUCCCCUUGCAACGAGAAACUGUGAACCCCGUCAGGCCCGGAAGGGAGCAGCGGCAGCAGUGGAUUCGUGUGCGGGUGUGGCUGGUGCGG
rnacentral:SRP_RNA from 1 species